UACAGAGGGUGCAAGCGUUGUUCGGAAUUACUGGGCGUAAAGGGCUGGUAGGCGGCCAACUAAGUCGGAUGUGAAAUCCCCAGGCUUAACCUGGGAACUGCAUCCGAUACUGGUUGGCUUGAAUCCGGGAGAGGGAUGCAGAAUUCCAGGUGUAGCGGUGAAAUGCGUAGAUAUCUGGAGGAAUACCGGUGGCGAAGGCGGCAUCCUGGACCGGCAUUGACGCUGAACAGCGAAAGCUAGGGGAGCAAACGGG
rnacentral:rRNA from 1 species